rnacentral:tRNA from 1 species
AAGAUAAUAGUUUAUUAAAAACAUUUAACUUGCAAUUAAAAAAAAUUUAGGUUUAUCUAU